rnacentral:rRNA from 1 species
AUUGAACGCUGGCGGCAGGCCUAACACAUGCAAGUCGAACGAGGCGCGGACGGGAGAGUAAUGUCGGGGAAACUGCCUGAGGGGGGGGGAAAACUACUGGAAACGGUAGCUAAUACCGCAUACCAUCAGAUGUGCCCAGAUGGGAUUCGCUUGUUGGUGGGGUAACGGCUCACCAAGGCGACGAUCCCUAGCUGGUCUGAGAGGAUGACCAGCCACACUGGAACUGAGACACGGUCCAGACUCCUACGGGAGGCAGCAGUGGGGAAUAUUGCACAAUGGGCGCAAGCCUGAUGCAGCCAUGCCGCGUGUAUGAAGAAGGCCUUCGGGUUGUAAAGUACUUUCAGCCGGGAGGCGUUACCCGCAGAAGAAGCACCGGCUAACUCCGUGCCAGCAGCCGCGGUAAUUC